rnacentral:rRNA from 1 species
UUGUCUCAAAGAUUAAGCCAUGCAUGUCUCAGUACAAGCCAAAUUAAGGUGAAACCGCGAAAGGCUCAUUAAAUCAGUUAUGGUUCCUUAGAUCGUACCAACAUUUACUUGGAUAACUGUGGUAAUUCUAGAGCUAAUACAUGCAAACAGAGCUCCGACCGGAGACGGAAGGAGCGCUUUUAUUAGAUCAAAACCAAUCGGCGGCGGGUUCGCUCGCGGGCUCGUCGUCGUUCGCAUUGACGAAUCUGAAUAACUUUCUGCUGAUCGCACGGUCUCGCACCGGCGACGCAUCUUUCAAAUGUCUGCCUUAUCAACUGUCGAUGGUAGGUUCUGUGCCUACCAUGGUUGUAACGGGUAACGGGGAAUCAGGGUUCGAUUCCGGAGAGGGAGCCUGAGAAACGGCUACCACAUCCAAGGAAGGCAGCAGGCGCGCAAAUUACCCACUCCCGGCACGGGGAGGUAGUGACGAAAAAUAACGAUACGGGACUCAUCCGAGGCCCCGUAAUCGGAAUGAGAACAAUUUAAAUCCUUUAACGAGGAUCAAUUGGAGGGCAAGUCUGGUGCCAGCAGCCGCGGUAAUUCCAGCUCCAAUAGCGUAUAUUAAAGUUGUUGCGGUUAAAAAGCUCGUAGUCGAAUCUGUGUCCCGCGCCGCCGGUUCGUCGCUCGCGGCGUUUAACUGGCGUGUCCGCGGGACGUCCUGCCGGUGGGCUUAGCCCUUUCGCGAGGGCGGCCCAAUUGUAAUCCCGCCGCGGUGCUCUUCACCGAGUGUCGAGGCGGGCCGGCACGUUUACUUUGAACAAAUUAGAGUGCUUAAAGCAGGCUAAAACUUUGCCUGAAUACUUCGUGCAUGGAAUAAUGGAAUAGGACCUCGGUUCUAUUUUGUUGGUUUUCGGAACCCCGAGGUAAUGAUUAAUAGGAACGGAUGGGGGCAUUCGUAUUGCGACGUUAGAGGUGAAAUUCUUGGAUCGUCGCAAGACGGACAGAAGCGAAAGCAUUUGCCAAAAACGUUUUCAUUGAUCAAGAACGAAAGUUAGAGGUUCGAAGGCGAUCAGAUACCGCCCUAGUUCUAACCAUAAACGAUGCCAGCUAGCGAUCCGCCGACGUUCCUCCGAUGACUCGGCGGGCAGCUUCCGGGAAACCAAAGCUUUUGGGUUCCGGGGGAAGUAUGGUUGCAAAGCUGAAACUUAAAGGAAUUGACGGAAGGGCACCACCAGGAGUGGAGCCUGCGGCUUAAUUUGACUCAACACGGGAAACCUCACCAGGCCCGGACACCGGAAGGAUUGACAGAUUGAGAGCUCUUUCUUGAUUCGGUGGGUGGUGGUGCAUGGCCGUUCUUAGUUGGUGGAGCGAUUUGUCUGGUUAAUUCCGAUAACGAACGAGACUCUGGCCUGCUAACUAGGCGUAUUUCCGACAUCUCGAAGGCCCGCCGGCCUGGUGCGUU